ACGAGUUUUAAUUGUUAGGUUAGAGUUGAGCUGGUUAAUCUAAUUAAUAUGUGCUUACUCUAAUCGAAACAAGUCCACUCAUUACUUAACACUUGUGAGAUUAUUCAUUACAAACAUUAUUAUUUGUUAUUGGAACGUUUGAUUAUUAAAAAGUUAAUA
rnacentral:misc_RNA from 1 species